CGGACGGGGGAGUAAUGUCUGGGAAACUGCCUGAUGGAGGGGGAUAACUACUGGAAACGGUAGCUAAUACCGCAUAACGUCGCAAGACCAAAGAGGGGGACCUUCGGGCCUCUUGCCAUCGGAUGUGCCCAGAUGGGAUUAGCUAGUAGGUGGGGUAAAGGCUCACCUAGGCGACGAUCCCUAGCUGGUCUGAGAGGAUGACCAGCCACACUGGAACUGAGACACGGUCCAG
rnacentral:rRNA from 1 species